rnacentral:rRNA from 1 species
UACGUAGGGCGCAAGCGUUGUCCGGAAUUAUUGGGCGUAAAGGGCUCGUAGGUGGCCAACUAAGUCGGACGUGAAAUCCCUCAGCUUAACUGGGGAACUGCGUCCGAUACUGGAUGGCUCGAGUUUGGGAGAGGGAUGCGGAAUUCCAGGUGUAGCGGUGAAAUGCGUAGAUAUCUGGAGGAACACCGGUGGCGAAGGCGGCAUCCUGGACCAACACUGACACUGAGGAGCGAAAGCCAGGGGAGCAAACGGG